UUGUGUGCCAGAUGUACCUGUAAUGGAUACGUACUUGUGUGAAGGUACUGCAUAUGAAUUUAUAUAAGAUGCAUGAACAUUCCAGUUUUUUGUGCGUAUUUUAAUGCUACGUAUUCAGUCACGUGGAAAGAAUGAAGGUGAUUCCAUGUGUCAAAUUGCCAAGAAAGUGAAGAUUUCAUACAAAAGUGGUUCAAGUUCAGAAUCGUUGUCAGAGCACCAGUGACAAAGAAUCUGAAUUGAUACGUCGCUGAAAAUCUGGCCAGCAUGCAAGAUGUUGGCACUCUCCAGCUCACCACACCAGACAUUUUUCAUAUAUAUCAAGAUAAUGCAACCAACAGAAAAUGUCAGGCUGUGAAUUCUGCAUCCUGUUUCCUCCUAAAUUUGUACUUGUUUGCUUCAUGCUGGCUUGGCAUUCCAGAUUCACUGCUUGGAGCUUAUUGCAUUACCGUGGGUGUGAGCUAAGCUCCCUUCAGCAUACGCAGGGAAGAUUAGCUCUGAGCCAGUCUGCUGAUCCACAGCAUGAAAGGAAGACUGAUGUGCCACCAGCUAUGACAUCACUUCCAGGACCAGCCCAUCUGUGUCUGUCUCUUCCAGAAUGCACCAUAAACGAACACACACACGUUUUCUUUUGUGCCCUUUGCACAAUUUACCAAUAUACGGGGUUUUCCUUUCGGUGCCCCAGACCCUUUAUGAGCUUGUGCUUUAUUACAAUAUAUAUUGUUAUAUAGCACUUCUGCCCCACCCGGAAGUACUACUGGAAGAAGGUCGUUGGACAACCGGAGGGCUUCCGGAUGUCCUAUAAAAGGAGCUAACAACCACUACUCGGGGAGCCAGAGUCAAGAGGAAGAAGGACAAAUGUUGCUGGAAGAAGAGUGGAGGCGGAAAGACAGAGAGAGAGAGACGAAAAGGACUGUGAACUGUGUACUUUGGUGCUCUGUACUGUGCUGUGCUCUGGAGGGCGAAGAAAAAGCACUUCCCAGUUGUAAAUAAAAGUGUGCUCUGUGCUGCACUUGUAUCUCUGCCUGUCUGUGUCGGGUUAGGGUGGCUGUACGCACUCCUGGUAUUCCACAAUAUAUGUCUCAAUGUCUGUCUGUCUGUCUGUCUGUCCACUUUUCAU